rnacentral:rRNA from 1 species
UACGUAGGGUGCAAGCGUUAAUCGGAAUUACUGGGCGUAAAGCGUGCGCAGGCGGUGAUGUAAGACAGUUGUGAAAUCCCCGGGCUCAACCUGGGAACUGCAUCUGUGACUGCAUUGCUGGAGUUCGGCAGAGGGGGAUGGAAUUCCGCGUGUAGCAGUGAAAUGCGUAGAUAUGCGGAGGAACACCGAUGGCGAAGGCAAUCCCCUGGGCCUGCACUGACGCUCAAGCACGAAAGCGUGGGGAGCAAACAGGAUUAGAUACCCUGGUAGUCCACGCCCUAAACGAUGUCAACUGGUUGUUGGGUCUUCACUGACUCAGUAACGAAGCUAACGCGUGAAGUUGACCGCCUGGGGAGUACGGCCGCAAGGUUGAA